CAUGGUCCCCGCAGCCGGACAACUUUCUCAAGGCUUCUGGAAAGAAAUGCUGUUCAACCGGUGACGUUCAUUCAGCCAACAGAAACGUUCAACCGGUUCUCCCCAUUAAGCAACGAGUCGGAGUCAGAGGCCGAGCCUUCUCAGGUCUUUCCUCCAAACGUUACGGGGUCUGAGCCUUCUCUGGUCUCUCCUCCAACCGUUACGGGGUCUGAGCCUUCUCAGGUCUUUCCUCCAACUGUUACGGGGUCUGAGCCUUCUCUGGUCUCUCCUCCAACCGUUACGGGGUCUGAGCCUUCUCUGGUCUCUCCUCCAACCGUUACGGGGUCUGAGCCUUCUCUGGUCUCUCCUCCAACCGUUACGGGGUCUGAGCCUUCUCUGGUCUCUCCUCCAACCGUUACGGGGUCUGAGCCUUCUCUGGUCUCUCCUCCAACCGUUACGGGGUCUGAGCCUUCUCUGGUCUCUCCUCCACCCGUUAUGAGGUCUGAGCCUUCUCUGGUCUCUCCUCCAACCGUUACGGGGUCUGAGCCUUCUCUGGUCUCUCCUCCAACCGUUACGGGGUCUGAGCCUUCUCUGGUCUCUCCUCCAACCGUUACGGGGUCUGAGCCUUCUCUGGUCUCUCCUCCAACCGUUACGGGGUCUGAGCCUUCUCUGGUCUCUCCUCCAACCGUUACGGGGUCUGAGCCUUCUCAGGUCUCUCCUCCAACCGUUACGGGGUCUGAGCUGCCGAAGCCUCCCAUUAUUAGCUCUGACAAAUUGAAAACCCUAGUCAUUGGCAACUCUAUUACGCACAGUGUUAGACUUAAAAAGAAUCAUCCAGCGAUCAUACACUGUUUACCAGGGAGCAGGGCUACCGACGGUAAGGCUAAUCUGAAGACGGUGAUGGCUAAAGAUAAAACUAGUGAGUGUAGAGAGUAUAGAGAUAUUGUUAUCCAUGUCGGCACCAACGAUGUUCGGAUGAAACAGUCAGAGGUCACCAAGCGCAACAUAGUUUCAGUGUGUAAAUUAGCUAGAAAGAUGUAUCGACAUCGAGUAAUUGUCUCUGGCCCCCUUCCAGUUAAGGAGAGUGAUGAGCUCUACAGCAGUUUCACAACUCAAUCGCUGGUUGAAAACUUUUCUGCCACUCC